UACGUAGGGUGCAAGCGUUGUCCGGAAUUAUUGGGCGUAAAGAGCUCGUAGGCGGUUUGUCGCGUCUGCUGUGAAAACCUAAGGCUCAACCUUGGGCUUGCAGUGGGUACGGGCAGACUAGAGUGCGGUAGGGGUGACUGGAAUUCCUGGUGUAGCGGUGGAAUGCGCAGAUAUCAGGAGGGAACACCGAUGGCGAAGGCAGGUCACUGGGCCGCAACUGA
rnacentral:rRNA from 1 species